GGCAGAUGUUCGGUGUACACCGGCCACUGGUUGGGGUGAGGCCGGUCUGGCGUGCACGUCCAAUUGAGCAUGCUCCUCUGGCACAGGGACCUCCAUCUCCUCGCGCGGCCCCUCCGUCACCACCCCCGCUUCCGGCUGGCGGGGACCCUCGCAUGCCUCCUCCACCACCAGCGAUGGUGUAGCAAGUUCCUCCCACGCUGACCUCCAGCUCGGGCUGGGCAGGUGGGUGAGCUAGUGGUGGGCUCAGCAGUUGCUCCUUGUCCCUCCUCCGGAGAGCAGGAAUGGGAGCUGGCCCCUGCCGGGCACAAGCUACUCCCACCCGAGGAGUGGGGAAGGGUGCGGUGACAGGCUGCGGACCGGCCACCCCAGAGGUGUCGGGGAGCACCUGUGGGGGUGGCGGCGGUGUCGGGCAGCUCUUUCUGCUGCCGGCGACACACCGCCGCCUGCUCCCUCUGCAUGGCUGCCAGCUCAGCCACCAUUUGCACCAUCUCCUCUCUCUGCUUGCCCAGUCCUGAGUCUGCCGAGCCUCCCGUCCUGGGUUUCGGCACCACUGUGAAUGACCACAGCAGACCAGGUAACAUGAACAUGCUUUGCACCCUUUAUUUACACACAAACACACAGAGCUGCAGCUCUCCCGCUGCCAGCUCAAAAUUACCACAGCAACCAACCAUCGCAUGAUCCAGCGCUAUGCUUAAGUCGGCGGGUGUAUCCGCCUUCCGUGCACGGCACCGCAGGCAACGCCACAUCUACGCUUUAAUCUUUAGAGUGCUGUUAGGGGCCCGACUAUUUUACAUGAUCAUAGUUCCCACUAAACAAAGUAUCUGAAAUUCCGUGGUGAAUAUUUCAGAAUCUUUCCAACUUUAUUGUUAUUUGGCAAUGAAAAACUUCUAGUAUUUUGGUCUCAAACACUAAAACUCUCUAACACUAGUUGCUAAGCUUUAUGUUGAAACAGUAAAGCAAGAUCAAAACAUUUUGCUGUCAUGAAACCUGUUGUAAUGCUAAUACUAAAUUCCAGAUUCACAUUGUUUAUGUCAAAAUCCCGAUAGCUUACCAGGGAGAAUAUACUAUAUUUUUGCCUGGUCAUGAUACCAGUUGCCUGUUAUAGCUGUGUUUAAUGGCAACUAACUGGGCCGACAAAGGUCAGUGCAGCUCAGAUGUGCCAUAUUCACAAUGGAAGUCAUUCGCUAAACCAUCUGCAUUGAAUAAUAUCUAUAAUGUAAAGUUGCACACAAUGGAAUUGAUUCAUAGCAAUGUGGCAACCAGAGGCCAUAAGAAGUCCGUGACAUUCAGUGACUUCAAGCGACUAUGGCCAAAGUAACCACUGGCAAAGGGAAAAGGAUGGGAUCCAAGAUAAACUUUUCUCAUCUUCCAGGUGAGAAACUGAAGUAUAUAACAAUGAAGAGUGAAGUCUAUUGAGUUUGGAAAGAAAAGCUUCUGGACUUUCAUCUAAGAAGCUUCUUCAACUCUAAGAACUGAAGGAGCUUCUUGGAUGAGAGGUGAAACAUCAUCAACAAACUUAAAGAAGUCCAGACGCUUUUCUUUACAAGCUCCUUAGACUGCAGUGACCUGGAUGACUGAGAGCCAACAGACAAUGAAUAGUGAAGAAUAUCUGUAUUGUCAUAUGACCUGAUAGUGAAUAACAAUAGAAGGUAACCUAGGCAACCAGUGGCCGGAACACUCACCAGCAACCAGCUGUCAGCUUCAAAGUAAUGCGUGAUGACCAAAAUUGCUGUUUGAUGACCAAACUUUUUUUUAGGUUGCACUCAAGUUUUAGAAUUUUGUCUGCCUUCUUGUUCAUAGAAUGAUACAUUUUGUUAUAUCAGAAUGUUGUUAAUGCCCUUAAACAUCUCACUAAAUUCAAGAUUUACUCAUUUAUUUAUUUUAACCCUACGAUCGUGACAUCUUUUUUGCUUCUGAACCUGUUGUCAUAAUCUCAGGCAUAAUUAUACCAUUCUUUAGCCAAAUGCUUCAGAUAUCUCAUUCUAGUUUUCUCUUAAACAGUUGCUGGAAUAGUUAAAUGUUAGUAAGAACUCUGUGUUGGUGGUAGCUCCCUGCUGCAAACGCGAUGUGUAGCAUCUAGCAGGAUGGCUACAAUGCCAAAAUGCUUCUCAUUAUUCUCAGUUUCUGGACAGAUCUGCAGUAUUGUUAAAAGCAGUGUAAAGGAGUCUACUUUGACAACGACCAUAUGAAAAAGGUUGAUAUUAUUUACUGUUAAAGGUUCUCUGAUAAAGCAACUUUUAAAGAUCUGGACUCACAAUUAGAGAGAUGACUCAGUUUAAAUAACUGAAACAUUCCAGUAAUAUUAAGAGCUCUCUUCGAAAUAGAGGACAGAACUACAAACCUAUAAUUACAUGUGUUACUUGUUGAAAUAGGCAUCUAAGUAUAGUUCUGGGUUUAUGUCAAAUCAACUGAUAAAGGAAAACGACAACACCUUGGUCAUCUCUGCUUUGAAUUCUAGUUGUAAUUUACCAGUCACACAUUUUUUAAAACGGACUGUUUGAUACUUAUUGUACAGAGUUUAAGAAUAAUUUAAAAAAAAAAAAUCUUAGGGUUCUAGGGUUUUCUAUCUGAGCAUUAUUUAUGAACCAGCAGGAAUCUGUGUUAGCAUGGCUGAUGCUAAUGUGCCAGAAGUGGCUAACCAGCUAGCCUUUAGCUUAACAUUCCUGUACUCUUGCUUUGUUGAUGCAGUGUUGAGCAGAAUACGUUAGAGUAUUUAGUGCCUGAUUACUGAAUACCUCAUCUUAAAUGUAACAUAUAGGCUAUUGAAAACAACAGAGAAAUAUAACAUAUUCCGAAUUUUUCUAGAAUACUCCGCCAGAAGAGCGGCUUUCAUGUUAAACAGGUUAUACUACAAUCUUUUUUCCUAUUACUUACAGACCAUUAACAUAUAUGAUCAUUUUAUACUACUAAAAUCAACAUACUAAGAUCUAUUAGCAGGUUAAUGGUUUACAUGUAUAACGUGGACCAUAUUAAAAUAUAUAAAAUCUUUACGGUUUCUACCAAACUUUAGGCAAAAUGACGGGUUUGAUUGUCUGCUUGUUAAGUAAUCAGGUAUUAAACCCUGUUUCCAGGUAUCAAAGCUCAAGACAUUGAACUUAGGACCACAGUUUUUCAUACUAAGCAAUCCAAAACAUGCAGUAACACACUGAUUAUUAUUCAUGUGUAGUGGAUGGUGUCAUCUCUGACUUCUAGGCUGAUGUUUUAUCUGUGUCCAGUGUUUUCUGUCUUCCAUAUGAAGUUUAUAUCUGCCAGCAGCGCAUCCUCUUACAUUUUUAUUGAGAACAAUUUAAGCCACAUCCUACAUCCUCAUCCCUGUGCUGAUGUGUUGAUAUUAGCCUACCUAUUGCUCUGUAGCCAGCUACAAAGGAGUAGAUCAUUAUGUCAACUAACCCAACUUCAGUGACCCUCUAUAUGUUACUGCUAGUUUCCAUAGCAGUCUUCAUUUGCAUCUAGAAGUGCUGUAUGUUUAUAGUUUUUCAGAAAGACAUCAGUAAAAACAUGGUAUACAGUCUUUAAAUGACAACUAUCUCAGUGACUAAAGUCAGCUUACUGCUAACUCUGCCAAACCCCAUAGAUCACUGUUUUAAUGGGUGCCUGGAUAAUAAAUUAUAACACCUGGAAAACACCACACUGAUAAUUUUAUCGGAAUCUGGACCUUAAAAAAACAAAAACAAAAAUGAAUAGUGUUCAGAAAGGACAUUUGGACCUGGAGAUGGCUGAUGAGGUUAGGCUUAAAAAGCAGAUAUAAAAAAUCAUGACCAUUAUAAUUAUAUUUACAAUCUUAUUGCCUUCUCUUGCUAAAGUCUAAUGAUUAAUCAGUGCAUAACACAUACCAGAGAAAGUCUAUGCCACCUAAAAUGGCACAGAUACUUAAGAAGUGUGACAGAGGCAAGACAGAAAACAACAAAAACAAAAUGCUUUAGUUGAGAUAUUUGUCAAGAUAAAAUAUUUGAUAGAAGUUUGAUUGAAGGACGGGAAAACCUAAAGCUACUAUACAAUCCUUUUGAAUAGUAAUAAUAAUAAUAAAAAAGGAAAAGUACUGGUUCAGACUAAACAGUAUCUUCUAUAAACUGUCAAUAAUACUGAAUAUAAAGGCAAUAAGUUCUGAUGGAACAAUAAAAUUUAAGGUUUCAUCAAAGGAAGAGGUAUCUACCCAUCUGUCUGUCUAUCUAUCUAUCUGUGAAAGAGCUAAGACAUCUCUUCCAUUGCCAAAGCACAUGCGUGAAAACAACAAUACAAUCAUCAAAUAAAACUUUAUAAUAAUCUCUUUCCAGUCUUCAAUUUUUUUUCUGCCAUAUACCUGCUUUUGCAUAAAUGUUACAGGUUUUUGUAAAAGACGGAGGUUUGGUUGGUGCAAACAUAUGUUCAGUGUUUUCUUUUUACUUUAUUCUGUCGGUAAGUUCUGUGUCUGAAAACCUGAUUUUUCUGAGUCUGCCUGUCGAAUGUGUGUGAGCUGCAUGCAACUGGACCGCUUCACGUCUGCUUUUUGAGAUGGAUUUUUUAAAAGUCAAAACAUUCAAAAAGGGAAAAAGAGAAGGGGGAGAUGUUCGUCCUGCUGGCUUUUGUCUUGCAGUGCAGUGAACCUAGGUUAACUCUGCUACUCUUCUGUUUUUUGUUGUUCAGUUAUUGUACUCUUUGACCUGUUGAAAAUUCAUAUGGCACUCUUCUUCAACUUACAAAGUGCUUUAAGACUUUUUGUAUUUCUUUGAAUGAUGUUUUUAUUUUUGCUUUUUUUGUUUCACUUCCACUGCGAUUUGCCCUCUAUGGCGACAUGUAUUCUAACCUCAAUGAGGGACUUGUACAGUGUUACCCUCCAUUUCCCCUGUUCACCUUGGUAAGAGUCAGACCUAGGCCACAUUACCUACCUAAAGUCAGUUUCACCUCUCCAGUUGAGAGAUCAGUCAUGACACUCCAAACAAAAGCUGCAGGUCUCCAGUCUUUCCUCAGAGGUACAGCUGUUCUGAAAGGAGAAACACCGUCAUUGUCUGGGGCUAAACUUGAGAAGCACCAGCUGGCAGAUUCUAAUAUACUUUACAUUUGGACUUCUGCUAAAAAAAAGUCAUUUUACAUUAAUUAUGUAUUAAUAAGCAGGUUAAUAACCUAAAAGAAAGCAUUUGCGAAAUUGUAUAAGUAUUAUUGGUGUCUUGUGAUAACUGGUUGGAGAAAUUACAGGCUUAAUUAUUUUCUUGCUAACAGUAGCUUUAGAAGAUUUAGGGGCUUCUCAUAGCUGAUGGUUUCCACCAGUGUACAGCAACAAUGAACUAAAAAAAUAUGUUGUAUAAUUUAACAGUAAGAUACAAUAGUUAAUAUCACCUCCCACUUCAUUAUGGACAUCUGUUUAACCUCUUGUUACCCAUAUAUAAAAUCAACCAAUCACAUGACAGCAAAUCAGUGCCUUUAUGCACUAUGACUAUGAAUACUUAGAUAAUGCUGAGGGAAGAAACAAUAUUCACAUGGCUUUGAAUGUGGCAUUGUUGCCACACAGGGAUCUCCAGGGUUUUUAAAAAUGGUCCAAAAAAAGACAAAAUAUCCAGUCAGUGGCAGUUCCCUGAGUGAAAAUGUCUCGUUAAGGUCAAAGGUUGGAGCUGAUAGGAACGCAACAGUAACACUGUGCCAUUCCUUUCAGCUAAGAGCGGGAGACCGAGAUAGCAGUUCACAUAAGCUCACCAAAAUUGGACAAUAGAAGAGGGGAAAAACAUUUCCUGAUCUGAUCAGUCUCAAUAUCUGCUGUGAUAUUUAGACAAUAGGAUCAGAAUUUGACAUAAACAAAGCAUCUUGCCUUGUAUUAACAGUUUAGGCUGGUGAUAGAGUGAUAUAGUGUGGGAUAUUUUUUUGGCAAAGUUUGAGCUCUUUCUACUAGGUGAGCAUCAUUUAAUGUGACUGCUUACCUGAGUAUUGAUGCUGACUGUCUUCUGAUGGGUGAUCAGAGUUCAUUGUAUUCAAAUGGUUCCCCACAGUUACCAGAUCUCAAUUUAAUAGAGCAUCUUGGGUGGAAGACGAGAGUCACAUCAUGGGGGCGUAACUGACAAAUCUGCAGCAACUGUGCAAUGCUUUCUUUUUAUAUGCACCCAAAUAAAUGAGGAAUGUUCACAGAACCUCGUUGAAUCUAUGCCAUGGAGAAUUAAUGCAGCUCUCAAGGCAAAGGUGGGUCCAACCCAGUACGGUAGUAGCAAAGUGUACUUAAUAAAGUGACCAGUGAGCAAAUAUACUCUCUGUGCUUCAGAAUUAGUGUUGGAGUGAUGUGAAACCCCUGAAGCUACAGCCAGUUAUCUCGGAGAAAUAAAGAAUUGAUUGUCUUGCUUGGCUCAAAGAUGGCAGCAUACACCAAUAAACUGGGCUUGAUUGAUCUAUACUUGAUUGAUCAACAGAUUAGGAUUUGAGGUGUAGAGUGUCCACUUGCAAAAAAAAUAAAAUAAUGUAAGCUACUUUCCUUUGUGCACCAAGGAUGACAGUAUAUUUAAAUAAAAAUUGGUGUUUUAUUUUUAACUCAAGCUGUUUUUUGCUUUUUUGAGGCUCCACCUGUGAGGUUUAACUCAAGCAGAAGGAUUUCUCCCAAGGGAGCGGGUCUGCCUCUGAGAGCUGACCUGCUUCAAAGAAACAUUUGCAAAACUAAAUCUAAUCUCUGCACCAUGAUUUUUGGGGUGUAAUAAUGUGGCCGGGGUCUGAACUGUGGCUGUGUUACAUAAUCAUACUUUAUGCCUUGUGGCUGUAUGAAAUGGCCCUAUGACUUUGGAACCUGCUGUCCUCUGGUGAGCUACUUGUGUGUAUGUUAAUAUAUACACACCUUGUUGGUAUUUAUUUAUUUAUAUAUGUAUUGUAUGUAUUGAUUUGGUUAUUUAUUAAUUUAUUUAUUCCUGUGUCCUAUUUAAUGGUUAGGCACCUGUGACAUAUUUGACGGUCGUCAAUACAUUGGUGUAUGGUGUAGAGUAUGGGAGGGGUAG
ensembl:lncRNA